rnacentral:rRNA from 1 species
UACGUAGGGUGCAAGCGUUGUCCGGAAUUAUUGGGCGUAAAGAGCUCGUAGGCGGUUUGUCGCGUCUGCUGUGAAAUCCCGAGGCUCAACCUCGGGUCUGCAGUGGGUACGGGCAGACUAGAGUGUGGUAGGGGAGAUUGGAAUUCCUGGUGUAGCGGUGGAAUGCGCAGAUAUCAGGAGGAACACCGAUGGCGAAGGCAGAUCUCUGGGCCAUUACUGACGCUGAGGAGCGAAAGCAUGGGGAGCGAAC